GAUGAACGCUGGCGGCGUGCCUAAUACAUGCAAGUCGAGCGAACGGACGAGAAGCUUGCUUCUCUGAUGUUAGCGGCGGACGGGUGAGUAUCACGUGGAUAACCUACCUAUAAGACUGGGAUAACUUCGGGAAACCGGAGCUAAUACCGGAUGAUAUUUUGAACCGCAUGGUUCAAUAGUGAAAGACGGUCUUGCUGUCACUUAUAGAUGGAUCCGCGCUGCAUUAGCUAGUUGGUAAGGUAACGGCUUACCAAGGCAACGAUGCAUAGCCGACCUGAGAGGGUGAUCGGCCACACUGGAACUGAGACACGGUCCAGACUCCUACGGGAGGCAGCAGUAGGGAAUCUUCCGCAAUGGGCGAAAGCCUGACGGAGCAACGCCGCGUGAGUGAUGAAGGUCUUCGGAUCGUAAAACUCUGUUAUUAGGGAAGAACAAAUGUGUAAGUAACUGUGCACGUCUUGACGGUACCUAAUCAGAAAGCCACGGCUAACUACGUG
rnacentral:rRNA from 1 species